rnacentral:miRNA from 2 species
UAGCUAGCAAGUUCAUGGAUC